rnacentral:rRNA from 1 species
CCUACGGGAGGCUGCAGUGGGGAAUCUUGCGCAAUGGGCGAAAGCCUGACGCAGCAACGCCGCGUGGGGGAUGACGGCCUUCGGGUUGUAAACCUCUUUCGCGAUCGACGAAGCUCGUACUUCUGGUACGGGUGACGGUAGGUCGAGAAGAAGCACCGGCCAACUACGUGCCAGCAGCCGCGGUAAUACGUAGGGUGCGAGCGUUGUCCGGAAUUAUUGGGCGUAAAGAGCUCGUAGGCGGUGUGUCACGUCGGCCGUGAAAACCUGGGGCUCAA